CUUGUACUCCCUCCGUUCGGAAUUACUUGUCGUAGAAAUGAAUGUAUCUAGAUGUAUUUUAGUUCUAGAUACAUCCAUUUUCGAGACAAGUAAUUUCGAACGGAGGGAGUAGACA
rnacentral:pre_miRNA from 1 species